GCCACCAUAGCUCAGCUGGUAGAGCGACUGAUUUGUAAUCAGUUGGUCGCGGGUUCAAUUCCUGCUGGUGGCU
rnacentral:tRNA from 1 species